CCUCAUGUGAAUAAUGAUGACAAAUCUUCAAAACAAAACAAAAUUAAGUAUAUUCUAAAUAUCAUCAAAAAAUAUGUAAUGCCCAAGAGCCAUUUAUCCUUUGAAAUUAGAACAUCUAUUGAUAGGAACAGGUUAUAAGUAGUUUCCUUGAAGUAACUGAAAAAUAAAUGGCUCAGAAAUGACAAUCACAAGCUUCCCUGAGCAGCCUCCUAGACCAUGGGAACCUCCAUUCUCCUGCUACCUCUCCUCCAACCUUCAUCAGACAUGUUGAGCCUGAACCACACAGAUAAGCCGCUAUUCCCCAACCCAUUUCCCACGCCCACUGAGUACUAUGGGACAAGCCUUCUGGACCUCCAUCCUCCCCUCUCCUUUCCACCCACCUUUAUCAUAUCUGCAGAUCCUGAGGCAUACAGGUUAGCUUCCCUUCAAGCAUCCAUCUUUCCUGCUCCCUAAAUCUCCUGGAGCACCCAACCUGACCUGAGCUGCCUGCUAUCCCAGGUAGACAUCCCUUCUCCAGUCAUCUCUCUGUCCACCUUCACUGGACCUGCUGCUCCUGAACUAUACAGACCUUCAGAUCCAGGACCAUACAAUGCAAGGAUACUCAUCAAAGGCCUGUCGCCCUGGGAUUAUCAAGAGAAUUCGACCCACACCAGAC
rnacentral:lncRNA from 1 species